rnacentral:rRNA from 1 species
UCGCCCUUAGAGUUUGAUCCUGGCUCAGGAUGAACGCUAGCUACAGGCUUAACACAUGCAAGUCGAGGGGAAACGACAUCGAAAGCUUGCUUUUGAUGGGCGUCGACCGGCGCACGGGUGAGUAACGCGUAUCCAACCUGCCCACCACUUGGGGAUAACCUUGCGAAAGUAAGACUAAUACCCAAUGACGUCUCUAGAAGACAUCUGAAAGAGAUUAAAGAUUUAUCGGUGAUGGAUGGGGAUGCGUCUGAUUAGCUUGUUGGCGGGGUAGCGGCCCACCAAGGCGACGAUCAGUAGGGGUUCUGAGAGGAAGGUCCCCCACAUUGGAACUGAGACACGGUCCAAACUCCUACGGGAGGCAGCAGUGAGGAAUAUUGGUCAAUGGGCGAGAGCCUGAACCAGCCAAGUAGCGUGCAGGAUGACGGCCCUAUGGGUUGUAAACUGCUUUUAUAAGGGAAUAAAGUGAGUCUCGUGAGACUUUUUGCAUGUACCUUAUGAAUAAGGACCGGCUAAUUCCGUGCCAGCAGCCGCGGUAAUACGGAAGGUCCGGGCGUUAUCCGGAUUUAUUGGGUUUAAAGGGAGCGUAGGCCGGAGAUUAAGCGUGUUGUGAAAUGUAGACGCUCAACGUCUGCACUGCAGCGCGAACUGGUUUCCUUGAGUACGCACAAAGUGGGCGGAAUUCGUGGUGUAGCGGUGAAAUGCUUAGAUAUCACGAAGAACUCCGAUUGCGAAGGCAGCUCACUGGAGCGCAACUGACGCUGAAGCUCGAAAGUGCGGGUAUCGAACAGGAUUAGAUACCCUGGUAGUCCGCACGGUAAACGAUGGAUGCCCGCUGUUGGUCUGAAUAGGUCAGCGGCCAAGCGAAAGCAUUAAGCAUCCCACCUGGGGAGUACGCCGGCAACGGUGAAACUCAAAGGAAUUGACGG